rnacentral:SRP_RNA from 16 species
GCUGGGCGUGGUGGCGCGCGCCUGUAAUCCAGCUACCUGGAGGCUGGGGUUGGUGGACCGCUUGAUGCCGGGGGUUCUGCGGCGUGCUGUCCUAUGGCGAUCGGGCGUCCACGCUAAGUUCGGCAUCGAUAUGGUUACCCCGGGGGAGCCCAGGGCAACCAGGUCGUCUAAGGAGGGACGCACCGGCCCAGGUUGGAAACAAAGCAGGCAAAAGUCCCCGUGUCGAUCAGUAGCGGGAUCGCGCCCGUGAAUAGGCACUGCGUCUCAGCCCGGCCAAUAUAGUGGGACCCAAUUCUUCUU